rnacentral:tRNA from 1 species
GGGCCGGUGGUCUAGGGGUAUGACGCCGCCCUUGCAAGGCGGAGGCCGUGGGUUCAAAUCCCACCCGGUCCA